CCAGACUCCUACGGGAGGCAGCAGUGGGGAAUAUUGCACAAUGGGGGGAACCCUGAUGCAGCGACGCCGCGUGAGGGAAGAAGGUUUUUGGAUUGUAAACCUCUGUCCUUGGUAAAGAAGCAAGACGGUAGCCAAGGAGGAAGCCACGGCUAACUACGUGCCAGCAGCCGCGGUAAUACGUAGGUGGCAAGCGUUGUCCGGAAUUACUGGGUGUAAAGGGAGCGUAGGCGGGAGGAUAAGUUGAAUGUGAAAUCUAUGGGCUCAACCCAUAGCUGCGUUCAAAACUGUUCUUCUUGAGUGAAGUAGAGGCAGGCGGAAUUCCUAGUGUAGCGGUGAAAUGCGUAGAUAUUAGGAGGAACACCAGUGGCGAAGGCGGCCUGCUGGGCUUUUACUGACGCUGAGGCUCGAAAGCGUGGGUAGCAAACAGGAUUAGAUACCCCCGUAA
rnacentral:rRNA from 1 species